ACGUAUAGGGUGUGACGCCUGCCCGGUGCCGGAAGGUUAAUUGAUGGGGUUAUCUUCGGAGAAGCUCUUGAUCGAAGCCCCGGUAAACGGCGGCCGUAACUAUAACGGUCCUAAGGUAGCGAAAUUCCUUGUCGGGUAAGUUCCGACCUGCACGAAUGGCGUAACGAUGGCCACACUGUCUCCACCCGAGACUCAGUGAAAUUGAAAUCGCUGUGAAGAUGCAGUGUACCCGCGGCUAGACGGAAAGACCCCGUGAACCUUUACUAUAGUUUUGCACUGGACUUUGAUGAUGACUGUGUAGGAUAGGUGGGAGGCUGUGAAGUGAGGACGCUAGUUCUCAUGGAGCCGCCCUUGAAAUACCACCCUGUUGUUAUUGAGGUUCUAACUUGGUCCAGUAAUCCUGGAUGAGGACAGUGUAUGAUGGGUAGUUUGACUGGGGCGGUCUCCUCCCAAAGAGUAACGGAGGAGCACAAAGGUACCCUCGGUACGGUCGGACAUCGUACCAAGAGUGUAAAGGCAAAAGGGUGCUUGACUGCGAGAGUGACGGCUCGAGCAGGAACGAAAGUUGGUCUUAGUGAUCCGGUGGUUCUGAAUGGAAGGGCCAUCGCUCAACGGAUAAAAGGUACUCCGGGGAUAACAGGCUGAUACCGCCCAAGAGUUCAUAUCGACGGCGGUGUUUGGCACCUCGAUGUCGGCUCAUCACAUCCUGGGGCUGAAGCAGGUCCCAAGGGUAUGGCUGUUCGCCAUUUAAAGUGGUACGCGAGCUGGGUUUAGAACGUCGUGAGACAGUUCGGUCCCUAUCUGCCGUGGGCGUAGGAAAAUUGAGAGGAGCUGCUCCUAGUACGAGAGGACCGGAGUGGACGAACCUCUGGUGCACCGGUUGUCACGCCAGUGGCAUGGCCGGGUAGCUAAGUUCGGACGGGAUAACCGCUGAAAGCAUCUAAGCGGGAAGCCUCCCUCAAGAUGAGUUUUCCCAUGAAGCCCGUUGAAGACUACGACGUUGAUAGGCAAGGUGUGGAAGCGCAGUAAUGCGUGAAGCUAACUUGUACUAAUUGGCUGAUUGUCUUGACCAUAUAAUCUGAG
rnacentral:rRNA from 1 species